UCUGCUGCACCACCGUCCUCUCUGUCAUCACAAAACAUAACAAUGAAACAACUGAUGCCACACACGAAGAUCACGCUGGAACAGUUUGUUGUCGUGGAUCAGUCUACUGUCAAUGGAUUGAAAGUUACCAUCCGUCUAUAUAUCAUUACUGUGCCUUGUGAAAAACGGACUGAUGUGCACUUGAAGUGAAGCUCAGGAGAGGCAGGAAGCUCAGAACAUCUGGGGAUGAACUCCAUGGUCGUAACAGGAAGCAGAGGAAACUCAUGGAUGUCGCUGCAGAGUUCAGUCUGGGCUCUGGGCUGCUCUGGUGGGAGUUCACUGGUGUUAGUGAUGACAAACCAAGGAGGCCUAUCCAUCUUUCCUCCUCCUUCCUUUAGUGGUCCGUGGGUGGUGGGUGCUGCCUCCAGCUUGAGGUGUCGUUUUCGUGAAGUGAGAGCGGAUCUUAUCCAGUACAUCCAUAGUGAUGACUCAGAAGUUAAGUCCAUGCUUAAAAAUAUCUUUGUGAGUAGUUUUAUGAAAGUCAACCACAUCCUGUGUUCAAUUCACAUAGCGGUGUAAAGAAAGAACUACACUCACUUUGUAAUAAAAGUGCUGCCUCUUGAAAUUAUAAAAGCUAUAUUUAGGGUUCUGUGUCUGUAACAUUGUAAUGUAAAGUGACCAGAUUUCUGAAAUGGACAUUUCCUAGUUUAAAGGUAAAAAAAAAAAAAACAUUGAAAUUUCACUGGUUGUUUUAUCUAUGAAUUAAAAAACAAUGGGGACAAUACAUUUAUCACAAUAAUUGCUAUUCAUUAUUAUUAGAAUUAAUGAUUAUAAGGAUUAUAUAUUAUAUUCAUACUGUAUAACGAUGAAGCCCUGAGCGUCUCCAAAAAUCACACAAAAAAAAAAAAAAAAAGUAGACUUUACAAAAACACAUUACAAAAAUAAAACAAAAUGUAUUUAACAUAUAUUUUCAGACAUUUUGCUUAUCACAAACUGUGAAUAUACUGUUUAAGGUAAUUGUUUUUAAUACAGCAAGUGAGGGAAAGCGCACACACACCUGUAGAAGUGCAAGAUGAAGGAAAAAAUUCAAACCUAAUUGAAAGAGAACAACGCACACUCACUUAAGCCUAUGAAAAUUAUAAAAAUUAUAAAAUGUUUUCAAAAUGUUGUGUGCUAUUGAAAAUGGAUCAAUAAAAAUGAGAAAUAAAUGCAA